GCUUUUUGUUAGAUUCUGCCUGUCUAUGCUUCUUUGAAAAUACGCCUUGAGUCCUCCUGGGCUUGUUUGAACUCUUGCUGAGCCCACCUCCUUGCGUUGGUCCAUAACAUAGACUAUGGAAGCAAUUUUUCUAAUUAAGAGGAUUGAUAGAGAAGCACUAGGAGAACAGAAAAGAACUAGAAAUGGUUUUUAUUGAUCUAGAGCUUGUGACUGUCUGAGAUGUGGCCUAUGGUGGGUUUUGGAGCAAAAAGGAAUAUCUAUUGGAUGCAUUGCAGUGUCAAAGGAUAUGUAUG
rnacentral:misc_RNA from 1 species